UGAGCAUCACCCUGGUGCCGAAUCCUUCGCCGCCGCAGACCCCCUUGACGCCGCCCUCUGCUUCCCCCGGCGGCUCCCACAUUCCCUCGUCUCCGACGGCGGCGCCGGGGUACUCCUACAGCCCCCACCAGCAGCACCACCAUCCUGUGAACCAGGGAUUCUCACCCUACAGCAGCUACAUCGUCCCCUGGGCCCAGCAAAUCCCGACCCAGCAGCCCCCAGCCGAGCCGCCGAUGCCCCAGUUCCGAACCCAGCAGCCUCAG
rnacentral:lncRNA from 1 species